ACGUAGGGAGCAAGCGUUGUCCGGAAUUACUGGGCGUAAAGGGUGCGUAGGCGGCGCAGUUAGUCAGAAGUGAAAUAUCGGGGCUUAACCCCGGGGCUGCUUCUGAUACUGCUGUGCUUGAGUGCAGGAGAGGUAAGCGGAAUUCCUAGUGUAGCGGUGAAAUGCGUAGAUAUUAGGAGGAACACCAGUGGCGAAGGCGGCUUACUGGACUGUAACUGACGCUGAAGCACGAAAGCGUGGGUAGCAAACAG
rnacentral:rRNA from 1 species